rnacentral:tRNA from 1 species
UUGGCUUUAGCUUAUGUGGUAAAGCGCCACUCUGUGAAAGUGAGGAACAGGGUUCAAAUCCCGAAGUCAAC